CUUGUGCCGGAGCUAACGCGUUAAGCGCACCGCCUGGGGAGUACGGUCGCAAGACUAAAACUCAAAGAAAUUGACGGGGACCCGCACAAGCGGUGGAGUAUGUGGCUUAAUUCGAUGCAACGCGAAGAACCUUACCUGGGCUUGACAUGCAUCUCUAAGCGCGUGAAAGCGCGUGACUCUUCGGAGGAUUUGCACAGGUGCUGCAUGGCCGUCGUCAGCUCGUGUCGUGAGAUGUUGGGUUAAGUCCCGCAACGAGCGCAACCCCUGUGAACAGUUGCCAGCGGUUCGGCCGGGGACUCUGUUCAGACUGCCCAGAUCAACUGGGAGGAAGGUGGGGACGACGUCAGGUCAGUAUGGCCCUUACGCCCAGGGCUGCACACGUACUACAAUGCUCAGUACAAUUGGAACCAAGACCGCGAGGUGGGGGAAAUCCGUAAAACUGAGCCCAGUUCGGAUUGGAGGCUGCAACUCGCCUCCAUGAAGUUGGAAUCGCUAGUAAUGGCACAUCAGCUACGGUGCCGUGAAUACGUUCCCGGGUCUUGUACACACCGCCCGUCACAUCAUGGAAGCCGGUAGCACCCGAAGUAUCGUAUGGUCCUAAGGUGAAGCUGGUAACUGGGAUGAAGUCGUAACAAGGUAACCA
rnacentral:rRNA from 1 species